UUGGUUGGUUUUUUUUGUUUGUUUGUUUUUGUUUUUAUUUAGAGAUUAAUUUAUUUAAAGUCCACUGUAUCUGUCUUCAGACACACCAGAAGAGGGCAUCAGAUCCCAUUACAGAUGGUUGUGAGCCACCAUGUGGUUGCUGGGAUUUCAACUCAGGACCCCCAGAAGAACAGGCAGUGCUCUUAACUGCUGAGCUGUCUCUCCAGCCCCGUUGGUUGGUUUUUUGAGACAGGGUUUCUCUGUGUAGCCCUAGCUGUCUUAGAACUCACUCUGCAGACCAACUGGCCUCAAACUCCUAGAAAUCCACCUGCCUCUAUCUAUGCUGGGAUUAAAGGUGUGCGUCACCACCAUCACCCAGCAGAUUCUUAAAAUUACUUUUUAAAUAUGAUGCCCGCAUUGAGCUUUUUGCAGCGUUAUAGUUUGUAUUUUAUAUUCUAUUGUGUUAAGAUGGAGUUUAAUCUGAACUAGACUACACUGUUAUGUGUUUAGCUCAGAGGUUUGCUAGACUUGUUCAUUUGUUUGUUUUAUUUUUUUGUUGUAGUUUUUCUGUGCAGUGUCCAAAGUUUCAACUUCUCCAAACUAAAUACAAACAACCCCAUUAGCCUAAAAAGUGCCCUGUGUCACAUUCCCCUCGGCUCCCAACCCAGGCUCUGUCACUCAUCCAGAGGAGGCUACAGGCACAUGUACUCUUUUUUUUUUUUCCGGAGCUGAGGACCGAACCCAGGGCCUUGCGCUUCCUAGGCAAGCGCUCUACCACUGAGCUAAAUCCCCAACCCCUUCGGCACAUGUACUCUUUGGGGGAAGUGUCAGUGUAGCUCUCCAUACCCUGUCACCUCCCAGACUCCUCCUUAGGCAGAUGCUCACUUCUCUCCUCACGGGCACUGCCUGCUCGACCCUUCACAGUCUCGGUGCUUUGUGGCUGGUUUUUGCUCUGCCCAGUGUUUGAGACCCAGCCAUGUUGCAGCAUAGAUUAGCCACUCGCCCCUCUUUAGUACAGAGUCCAAUGUGUGAGCUCACCCGCCUUUGCUUAAGUCGCCAGUGUUUGCUGCCUGUUCCCUGUGAGCCCGGCUUUUUGAGGACACAUGUUGAAUUCUUUUGGAUAAAUACCUGUGAGUAUUGGAGUUCCUGGGUAAUUAGAUAACUGUACGUUUAAUUCUAUCGUUUUUAAAUUGCCAAGAGCUUUCCUAACUAGUUAUAGCAUUUUGCACUAAGAUCUUCGCAAAAAAGAAACUAUGACUGGGGCCAGUGAGUUGAUUCAGCAGGUAAAGGUGCCUGCCUCAUAGGCCUGACGACCUGAAUUGAAUUCCCAGGACCAUGUAAAGGCCCAAGGAUAGAAGAAACCCAAAAAAACUAGUCCUCUGACCUCAGCAUGCACACAGUGGCAAACACAGAAAGAUAGACAGACAGACAGACCCACACGAAUAAGUAAAUACAUUUUUAAAGUUAAAUAUGUAUUUGCCUCAUGUUCACCUCAAAUUUUGACAACACCGUUCUGCGACUUCUACUUCAAUCGAAAUAAACAACAAGCCCCUCAUCCCCAGAGCCCAUGUGUGCCCCCAGGGAGCCCCCCCCCGCCCCUCCAGCCCCAGGGCCACUGCCUUCCAGCCCCAGGGAAGAUCUGUUCCCAGAUGUUCCAGAACCUGAUGGAGUUGGGCUCACACAGCACAUGGUCGUUUGACUCUGGCUUCCUGCACCUGCAGUAACACAUCCGAGGUUCAUCUGUGGAGUUUCCCGUAUCCGCAGUUCAUGUUUCCCACCAAACACUCCAUUCCCUACAUAUGCUAAGCUGUCUAUCCUUCCCCAGGUAACACACCUUUCUCUAUAAAUAUUCACUUAAAGAUUUUGAGGAAAGCUGAGGGUUUUUUGUUUACUUAAAUACUGGAAAGUGGGAUUGCUGGAUUGUGGUUGAAGGACUGUUUAACUUUUAUAAGAAACAGAGACACUGUGGUCCAAUUUGCAUUCCUGUGGGAAACGACUAAGGUGAGAGGUGAGAGGUGACAGAGUCACAUGACAAAUCCCCAGAAAUGAGACUCCAGAGACCAGCAUUAGGGUGCAGCUUAUUGUGCAGCACAUACAGUGUUUGAGCCAAUCCCAAGUCUCUAAAUCCUCUGCCAAUCAUGUCUCACCAUACUAUCAUGGUGCUCCAAUGAAAACCCUACCUGGUGAGGUAACUCAGAAGUAGUGGGGGGAGUAUAGUCACCUGUCAGGGCUUCCUUGUUGGGGGAGGGGAGGAAGCAGCCAUCGCCCUGGCCUCCGGUCCUUUUUGCUGUCUCACCGGUGUUUUAAUAAUCCCAUCUCCCGCAGAUCAGGAUUCUUCAAGGAGACUCAGGAGCCUGUGGCACCUCAGCCCUCCAUCACACUUUGUCCUUCACAAGGUUGACCUCCACAUGCCCCACACAUCCUCCUUGGCCACUCUGAGAACCUCAGUGUGCUGCUUCCUUGUCAGCACUUGGGAUUGUCAAGACUUUAGCUUUCCAGAGAACCUCGGUGUGCUGCUUCCUUGUCAACACUUGGGGUUGUCAGGACUUCAGCUUUUCGUUUUACACAGCUAACAGCUAACGGGGCUAUCUCCCUGCUGUUUUAGCCUGUAUUCCCCCAAGGACUAUUGUUAGUCACCACUCCGAGCUCUGAUCUGCACGUGAACCAUCUUCCUUAGUGAAAUGCGUGUUCAUAACCUCCUACCUUUGCCUUGUUGCUCACUCCUCAGCACAGAAUUAGAGACGUCUUUGCACAUGAUGCACAGAAAUCAGAAUAGCAGGUCUGUGGGUUUGUGCAUUUGCUUCAGGUCCAUCGCCUGUUGAAGUGGAAACUUAAGGGUUCUUUGGGGCAAACACACGAAGUGACGUUUAACUGAGGUGGAUACAGGUGAAAGACUAAGGCAGACUCAUGAAGGAACAUUUAGCUGAAGAAGACACAGGAGAAAGGAUGUUCUGCUAAAGCACGCAUGUGAAAGGACACAGAUGAAAGAUUCUUUUCUAAGAACACACAUGUAUCAGUCCGCCUUACUUUGUGUAGUUGAGCUGCAUUUGUCUGGACUCCAUAGAGAGAAAAAUCACCAGAAAACUUCUAGUAGGUGUGCUGCAGUUUCUUACCACUUCUGCAGACUUGACCUGAUGGGCAGAGUGAUGUCAGCUGAGGCAAGGCCCGUGGAGGACGUGUGAUGUUUGGAGGGUAUAAAUAGGACUCAACAGAUAGUGACAGGGACUAAGCUAGGCUUGCUUAGAGAGCUAGCUAUGCAACAAUAGUGGGUCUCAUGUCUUCACUGAUCUUCCUUCUCUGAGAGAGGCACAGCUGAGAGCUUCUCUUGGCGUUCCUCCCGGUCCCCCCUGCUGACUCAAGCUGAGGCUGAGGCCUGACUGUCCCUGCUAGAUCAUGCCACUGCUGCUGAUCCAGUAUUUCCGUGAGGUGGACCAAACUGCCUCUGAUAACCUGUGAAACGAGCUGCCGAUUUCCAGACAACACACAUGGGAGUUGCUCCAAAGAACCUUUCUAAACAGGUCCACUUCCCCUGUGUUCCUUCUUUUUCACUACCUCUGGUGGGUGGUGGGCUAUAAGGGAGGUUAAAGCGUUUAAGAGCCGCCAUUAAAAACAGGUUUUGAAAAAAAAUUAAAGUUACAGCCUGCCUUCCUUUUCUUCUUGGAAGGCGAGCAACUGAGUCUUGGAGUCCUACCUCCUUUUUUCCUUCCAUGAACUAUGACUUUACGUUUAGGUAGAGCUAAGAAUUUUCCUUCUAAACUAAGAUUUUUUUUUCUUUAGCUUUCCUGUUAGCUCUGGGAGGUAGCUGCAGUCUGGCGCUUGGCUAACGUGUGAGCUCUGACUUCCGGUGCUGGCGCUGAAAUGGUAGAUAGAAGAUCAGGCAGCUGUGUUGGUGUUAGCCUGUCAGGAGGCUGAGAUCCAUGGUUCAAUGCGAGUCACGUCGCACACGGUCAGCAUGCAAGAUGGCUCAGCAGGUAACACCACGUGCCACCAAGCCUGAGGACCCGAGUUCCACCUCCAGGAGCCACGUGGUGAAAGAAAGUUCUAAGACCCACAAGUUGUCCUCUGACCUCCACAAGUGCACUGUGGCACGUGAAUGAGUCCUGUCUCCACGCCUGCCUCUACCGAAAAGAUUAAAUUCAAAAAUAAAGAUGUAAAUACAGAAAUUCACUCUA